rnacentral:rRNA from 1 species
UACGUAGGGUGCGAGCGUUAAUCGGAUUUACUGGGCGUAAAGCGUGCGCAGGCGGUCCGCUAAGACAGGUGUGAAAUCCCUGGGCUCAACCUAGGAAUUGCGCUUGUGACUGGCGGGCUAGAGGUCGGUAGAGGGGGGUGGAAUUCCUGGGGGAGCAGUGAAAUGCGUAGAGAUCAGGAGGAACACCGAUGGGGAAGGCAGCCCCCUGGGCCUGUACUGACGCUCAGGCACGAAAGCGUGGGGAGCAAACAGG